GGAACCUGGAAGUUUGUUCCCACUGGGUGGCCAAUGCUACAUCAAACUGGACUUCAUUCUUGUCAAAAUGUGGACACAGCAACAAGCUGCCCUCUUGGAAGCAGAAAGCAGCUCUCACCAGACAUCAAAUCUGCCAGCACAUUGAUCUUGGACUUCCCACCCUUCAGAACUACUGUCUGCGAGGGAUGAGCCUGAGGUGUCAGCAUCUUCACAGGUCUUUUGAGCCUGCAUGCACAAAAGGGUCUACUGUCCCUGGAGAUGGAGUCUCCCUGUGUUGCCCAGUCUGGUCUUGAGAGCUUCAGUUUUAAAUAAUAAAUUGUUCUCGUCUUUCUAAAUUUCAAUCAAAACACAGGAUGUAUUUUAAAAGGGAAAAACUGUGAGGUAAAAGAAUAGGGUGAGGGGAGGAAAGAAAUAACUUCAUAGAGAAAAAUUCAAUGAACCCUUGGAAGAAAAUAUAUGGAAGUAUGGUUACUGACUUGGGAAAGAAGAGAAAGGUACAAUGUAACUGCACAUAGAAGCCAGUCCUGAAAAGAAGCAAGCCGGCUGAAGUUAUCUGCAACUCAGAAGCACUUGGUACCACCCAAGGGGAGAUAAGAGAUGAUAUGAUCAUCCUUCCUAGAAAAUCCAAAGCAUUAAUUAAGGAGAUCUCAUCAGAGGUGCCUGAAAAGCACCUCAGCCGAAGGCCUCACAUAGAGAGACCUAAGAAUGAAGGCACCUGGACUAGGAAUGUGAAUAUGUGAAAGAACAUGACCGGCCAGGGGCCCUGAGUUAUUGAAUGCAACCCCCUUCAGACACUGCAACACACAGGCUGUGCACCAAGCCUAGUAUGGGAAGGACAGCUUUUCUUCAUGAGGCCUGCCAGGUAAAGCCAGCUAUGAAACAGGAAGUUGACCUUCACCAGACACUGAACCUACUGGCACCUUGAUCUUGGACUUCCCAGCCUUACAAACUGUAAGAAAUAAAUGUCUGUUGUUCAUAA
ensembl:lncRNA LINC02345 long intergenic non-protein coding RNA 2345